GGCUUUCCAUGUAAAAUAUAUUUAAUUAAGAAUGCAAAACUGCCUUUCAGUUUUCAUACAACCAAAUUACAGAAAUGGAACUUUCUUGUUCUUGGAUUUCCUCGAAUUAAUAGUUGAUACAAGUCCUCGAAUUAUUGUUUGUUGAUACAAGUUCUUUGACUAGUUUGCCACGUAGAUUACAUUUCAUUCUUCCUAUUAUAUCCC
rnacentral:lncRNA from 1 species